rnacentral:lncRNA from 13 species
ACACCUCCACUGUGGGGCUCUAUAAAACUAUUGGAACCAUUUCCCUGUUUGACCGCUAGGUGUUAUGGGUACUAUAACACCUCCACUGUGGGGCUCUAUAAAACUAUUGGAAACAUUUCCCUGUUUGAACGCUAGGUGUUAUGGGUAUUAUGACACCUCCACUGUGGGGCUCUAUAAAACUAUUGGAACCAUUUCCCUGUUUGAGCGCUGGGUGUUAUGGGUACUAUGAGACCUCCUCUGUGGGGCUCUAUAAAACUAUUGGAAACAUUUCCCUGUUUGAGAGCUAGGUGUUAUGGGUAUUAUGACACCUUCACUGUGGGGCUUUAUGGCGCAAAUGAAAUGGGAUAAUCUAGAGAAUGUGACAAGAUUAGUUUAAUCUUGCUGAGAUGUUCUCAUUAAAAUGUCAGACGCUAAAAUCUAUGUAUUUAAUAUCUUAGAACAAUAAUAUUUUACACACCCAUCAUCCUUCAUUUCUGAUGAAAAAACACAACUGUGAAAAGAUGGUGGACAUUGUGUUUUGGAUAUAAACAAUUCAUAAAAUCUUUAAAAAAUGGUCCUCUCACCUCUUAGAUUUGGUGUCAUGUUCCCCAGAGACAUUCCUUUUAGAGGCAGGGCCCCCCUUCUCUCUCUCUCCAGAGAGACUCAUUUUAGAGGCAGGGCCCCCCUCCUCUCUCUCCCCAGUGAGACUCAUUUUAGAGACAGGGCCCCCUUCCUCUUUAUCCCCAGAGAGACUCAUUUUAGAGCACUGAUCCCUAAACAGAGAUCCAGCAUGUUGGUUGUGGUUAACACAGUGACAACUAAACAGAGAUCCAACAUGUUGGUUGUGGUUAACACAGUGACAACUAAACAGAGAUCCAGCAUGUUGGUUGUGGUUAACACAGUGACAACUAAACAGAGAUCCAACAUGUUGGUUGUGGUUAACACAGUGACAACAACUAAACAGAGAUCCAACAUGUUGGUUGUGGUUAACACAGUGACAACUAAACAGAGAUCCAACAUGUUGGUUGUGGUUAACACAG